GGGUUCAAUUCUGGCUCAGGACGAACGCUGGCGGCGUGCUUCAUACAUGCAAGUCGAACGAUAAGGCACCUUCGGGUGUACAUAAGUGGCGGACGGGUGAGUAAAAUGUAGAGAAUCUGCCCUAGAGCGGGGGACAACAGCUGGAAACGGUUGCUAAUACCCCAUAUGAGCGUAGUUGAGAUACUAUUCUUGAAAACUCUGGUGCUCUGGGAUGAGUCUGCAUCUGAUUAGCUAGUUGGGGGUGUAAUGGACCACCAAGGCGACGAUCAGUAGCUGGUUUGAGAGGAUGAUCAGCCACAAUGGGACUGAGACACGGCCCAUACUCCUACGGGAGGCAGCAGUAGGGAAUUUUGCGCAAUGGGGGAAACCCUGACGCCAGCAACGCCGCGUGAUUGAAGAAGCCCUUCGGGGUGUAAAGAUCUGUCAGUGGGGACGAAACUUGACGGUACCCACAGAGGAAGCAUCGGCUAACUCCGUGCCAGCCGCUGC
rnacentral:rRNA from 1 species